AACAUGCCGCAUGUGAAAUGUUUGAUAGAAGUGCCUCACGUCCAAGUCAAGCCGCCGUACGGGUGUAUGGCUGUGCGCCUCGUUCUCGGAAGCGUCGACGGGUUUCCGGCAUGCGGAUUUCAGCGUUUGGACUCGGCUUUUGGUGAGGAUGUCGAUCGACCUUGGGCCUGGUGACAGCACACCCGACAUCGCCAAAGUGCAGCCUAUCAGUUGAGUGCCCCUGAAUGGACCAUCAACAUCGGAAAAUGAAGCAGAGCCAGGGGAAAAGGUUCGGGUAACACCAUGCAUUCAGUAUGGUGGCCCAGAUGUGUAUGCAAGCAACCUCCUUCAUGUGGACCAAGAACUACUCUGCAGUGUCUCGCAGACUUCCACGCGAAGCCCUCAACGUUCUCGUCUCAGUGGAAUGGCUGCUCAUCUAUCUGCGUGUCCAUCACCAAGACGGCCAGUUGUAAAGCUCC